CUUGGUCAUUUAGAGGAAGUAAAAGUCGUAACGAGGUUUCCGUAGGUGAACCUGCGGAAGGAUCAUUACAGAGUUCAUGCCCUCACGGGUAGAUCUCCCACCCUUGAAUAUUAUACCUUCGUUGCUUUGGUAGGCCGUGGAAACACCACGGGCCCCGGCUUGUGCGUGCCUGCCAGAGGAAACCUAAACUCUGUUUUUAGUGAUGUCUGAGUACUACAUAAUAGUUAAAACUUUCAACAACGGAUCUCUUGGUUCUGGCAUCGAUGAAGAACGCAGCGAAAUGCGAUAAGUAAUGUGAAUUGCAGAAUUCAGUGAAUCAUCGAAUCUUUGAACGCACAUUGCGCCCCGUGGUAUUCCGCGGGGCAUGCCUGUUCGAGCGUCAUUUAGACCAAUCAAGCCUGUGCUUGGUAUUGGGGUUUGCGGUUCCGCAGCCUCUAAACGCAGUGGCGGUGCUAUUGAGUUCUGAGCGUAGUAAAUCUCCUCGCUAUAGAGUCUCGGUAGUUACUUGCCAACAACCCCCAACUUUAUCAAGGUUGACCUCGGAUCAGGUAGGGAUACCCGCUGAACUUAAGCAUAUCAAUAAGCGGAGGA
rnacentral:rRNA from 1 species